CCUACGGGAGGCUGCAGUGGGGAAUAUUGCACAAUGGGGGAAACCCUGAUGCAGCGACGCCGCGUGAGUGAAGAAGUAAUUCGUUAUGUAAAGCUCUAUCAGCAGGGAAGAAAAUGACGGUAACUGAGUAAGAAGCCCCGGCUAACUACGUGCCAGCAGCCGCGGUAAUACGUAGGGGGCAAGCGUUAUCCGGAUUUACUGGGUGUAAAGGGAGCGUAGACGGCUGUGCAAGUCUGGAGUGAAAGGCGGGGGCUCAACCCCCGGACUGCUCUGGAAACUGUACGGCGUGAGUGCAGGAGAGGUAAGUGGAAUUCCUAGUGUAGCGGUGAAAUGCGUAGAUAUUAGGAGGAACACCAGUGGCGAAGGCGGCUUACUGGACUGUAACUGACGUUGAGGCUCGAAAGCGUGGGGAGCAAACAGGAUUAGAUACCCCUGUAGUC
rnacentral:rRNA from 1 species